AGGGCUAUAGCUCAGAUGGGUAGAGCAGGAAAAAAGGAGCUUUGACAAAAGCUCUUGCAGCAAUUUUCUUAAUGGACUUUUAAUCCCCGUGUCGCCGGUUCGAAUCCGGCUAGCCCUA
rnacentral:tRNA from 1 species